rnacentral:rRNA from 1 species
UACGUAGGGGGCAAGCGUUGUCCGGAUUUAUUGGGCGUAAAGCGCACGCAGGCGGUCUCUUAAGUUUCGAGUGACAGGUCAGGGCUUAACCCUGGCAGGCCUUGGAAAACUGGGGGACUUGAGGGCUUCAGAGGGACGCGGAAUUCCAGGUGGAGCGGUGAAAUGCGUAGAGAUCUGGAAGAACACCUAUUGCGAAGGCAGCUCGCUGGGACGUAACUGACGCUGAGACGCGAAAGCGUGGGGAGCAAACAGG